ACUGCUCAGCAGAAGAAAUCUCCAAUCACUCUUGUAAAUCCCUGCCUCCCCUUGAGGCUAUAAAAGGGGAGCCAGGGCUCACAACCAAGACAGGUUGAUCCACAUAGCACAAGUUCAAUCACACAAACACCACAACUCCAAGCGAGUCUUCACGCAGGGUAGCUAGCAGCGCUCUGUCCACAUCACAAAGCCGAGACCUAGGACUUAGCCCUCUCUCGCAACCUGCUUGUAUUCCCCUACUACAAGCACCUUUGGGUGCAAGGCAAUACAGACCUCCGAUCUCACUGGACAUAGGGCAUCCUUAGCACGAACCAGUAUAAAUCCUCUGUGUUCCACUUGCAUCACCAUCCAGGCUUAGGCAGUCACGCAUUCUCAUACUUAUUUGUGUCUAGACCACGUGUCCAGACACCGACAAGAUUAAUAAAGAGUAUUAUUAUUAUUAUUAUUAUUAUUAUUAUUAUUAUUAUUAUUAUUAUUAUUAUUAUUAUUAUUAUUAUUAUUUCUUGUGUGUCUCUACUUUAUUUUUGUGCAAGAAAACAGAAAACAAGUAUGGUGGAGAUCCCUCGACACGCCAAACACAUUUCAACUACACCACUCCACGAUUCAGGUACAUACUCUGCACACUUUACUAUUACACAUACAUAUAUCUUGGAUUAUGUAGAAUAUUGUUUCCGACAUGAUAAAUUAAAAAGAUUAAAAUGCUUCUAAUCAUGAUCAAUCUCACUCUGUGAUAUUUCCUGAAACCUUACAAAAUCAUUCUAAAACCCUAUGUUACUUAAGUCAUUAUGGAAUGAUAGAGUGUGAGUACCUUAUUCUUGAUAUCAUUGUUGCUUGGAGAAUUUAUUUCAAAAUCUUCAAAAAAAUUCUAGCUACCAUCCUCAGUGUUUUAUAUGCCUGAUAAACCUGAAAAUAUUAACAUGAUAAUUAGAAAAGCUAUCUGCUAUGUAUUGAGUUUGUUCAAAUUGAGUUAGACCCUUGUUGAGAGAUUUAUCAUGCUCCUAAGAUCAAGACAUUUAUUCAGAAAGAUUCACUCUUCCGAAGUAUUAUUGCAUUAAAGGCAUGGGCUAUGCAAAAAAAAAUAAGGAUAUUUCGAGGAAAUAAAAAGGAGCAAGUGCUCGACAACCUCGCAGAGAAAAAAAUGGACAAGUGUCGGGCAGUAGAAUUAGGGGUACCUUGGUAUCCACUUAAAAAAAGAGAAAAGAAAGAAAAUGAUAGCCCAUGGUCCCUCUAAUAAGAAAUAUGCCAGUUUUUAAUUUUCAAAGUCUUUGAUCUAAGAGUAUGACAUUCCCCUCCUCGGAUCCUGUUUUGAUCAGGCAAUAAAUGCAAAGUAAGUAUGCUUGAGAAUUCUUUGCUUAUUAAAACAGCCUCAGUGAGAUAUACAAAAGAUAAUGAGUGAUCUGAGAGAACCUAUGGGGACAAAGGUAUGCUAAAUUUCUUUUCAAAAAUAUACAAAAAGUCAAAGUAACAGGAUUGAAAGGAAGAAAGGAUCUCUACUCUUGACCAUCUAUUUCCCUGACUACGGUUGUCGACGAAAGCUGGUCGGCAGUCUACCUUGGGGUAUACCCACGGUAGUAGUUUAUCGGUAGACGGUGCGCAAACUACGAACUCGAUGGUGACGCAAGAUACGGACAAGCUUUUUAUCUAGGUUCGGCCGCCGAGUUGGCGUAAUACCUACGUCCUGCGUCUGGUUGUAUUGGAUUGUGUUCAGAGAUAAUCUGUAUGCUCUGUCCUCUAGGGGACCCCUGCCCCUCCUUAUAUAUCCUGAAGGGACAGAGUUACAAGCGAAGUAUCCUAUUUGGUACAAUAUCUUGUAGCCUUGCGGUGCACGCCGAUCAGUCGUGCGCCGCAUGUCUUCAUCCUGUGGGUUGAGCCACCUCUGAUGGUGCGGCCCAUAUAGGCCCAUGAGGGUAUAGGGGUUUAUACCCCCACAGCUAGUCCCCGAGCACCAUGUAUUGUGAUGUAACACGCCGUCUUGAGCUUCUUCGAUCAGUGAGGCUUGACGUCUUCAAUAAGUAGGAAAGUCGCCCAAACAGUUGCAACGGUAUUUUGACCAACUCAAAAGACAGUUGAUCAACAUUGACAUCGAAGAAGCAGGUUGUUCGAAGAAUGCAUGGUGCUCUUAAUUAAAAAAGAUUUCUUUCCUGGUGAAGUGUGCCCACUUUACUUUUCUGAAAAGUAUAGACCUCAAAAAAGCAAGCAUAUUCACCGCAAGGUGAAGUGUGCCCACUUAGUCCCCGAGCCUGGUAGUAGGUGACGUAGGCACGUGGUGCCAGGGUCAAAAUAAAAGUCCUCAAAGAAAUUCUGUAACUGAGAUGCAUCGCCAGAUGCAUCGUACCGAUGUAGUCCCCGAGCUUGCUGGAAGGCGAAGUAUGAGCCUUGUAGCAAGGUCUAAAAAAUUGAAUUUACCAGUCCCCGAGCAUAUCAUGCUCGUCUGCAAUUGAAUAGACUAAUCGACCAGUCCCCGGGUGUACAAAAGUAUGACAACCAGGCCCCAAGCACCAAGCGCACUCCUUAGAAUUCUGAGUUGCUAUAUUGGGCGACCAGUCCCCGGGCAUCGAGCGUUCAGUGGUCGCCGGAAUUUUCGAAGUUCCGGGCUGAUAGACUGGGCGACCAGUCCCCGAGCAUCAAGUGCUCGGUGGUCGGUGCAGUCCUUCACAUCCGAGUUAAUAGACUGGGCGACCAGUCCCCGAGCAUCAAGUGCUCGGUGGUCGGUGCAGUCCCCAAGUUCUUAAAUUGGUGAGGUGGUCGACCAGUCCCCGAGCGUAUAGUGCUCGGUGGUCGGCACAGUCCCCGAGCACGGCGUAGGGACCGGUGGACAAGUCCCCGAGCGUGGUUGGGAACGUAAACGUGCUCGGUGGUCGGCACAGUCUUCGAGCACAGCAUAGAGAGUAGUCGACAAGUCCCCGAGCGUGGUUGGGAACGUAAACGUGCUCGGUGGUCGGAGCAGUCCCCGGGCACAGCGUAGGGAAUAGUCGACGAGUCCCCGAGCGUAGCUUGUCGACUGGGCCAAACCCCUGAAAAAUAAAUAUAAAGAAUAGGUAGUACAUGAUGUAUAAAUAAACUUUAGAUAAAAAUCAGUACUGAGAUAAGUUUUAGAUUUUUUGUUAUAAAAUUAGCACAAGUAGUUAAUUCAUCCUAGAGCUUGUACCAGCUCUGGUCUAGCCAACAAUCAGCAUGAGGUGCGGAACCUAGACACGCGUGGGAUUGCCAGCCUCGCCAGAGAGCUACUGCCGACCACCCGGAACGCAGAGGGUGGAUCUCGUGCACGUGUAGGGAGGAGUCGGAGACAGUACCGGCUCUGGAAAGCUCGUGUAGGAGAAAAAACUAGUGUGGCUAAACAAAAAGUUGUUUUUGAAGGAUAAUAAAAAAUAUUAUGCCAAAAAUAAAUAAGAUAUUAGAAGUGUACUUAUCUUUGGAUGAAAGUCUGGUCGGUGACGACAAAAUUGUUUAGCCCUCGAGCUUUUGGACUUGUUAUCGUGACGGUGGUCGCGGUUGUCGUAGCGCCGUUCUUCGCGGCGAUUAUUAUUGCGACUCGUGGUCAGAGCAAGUAGGCCAAACAACUUGGUUGAUAGGCUGAGCAGGUCGGUGUCGUCGAUCUGCCUCCCUUUGUAGCAGAGAAGCGGCGACGCGUUGUCGGCGUGGUCGGAGACGCUGCUGGUGUGGUCGAAACCGUAGCCAGCGUGGUUGAAGCCGCCGCCGACGUCGAUGAAGAAGUGGUUGGCGCAGAUCGGAUCAACACCUGCUCCGUGGUCAUGGCGGUGAAGUUGUUGAAGCUGACGGUGAACGUGAAGUCGCCCGCCAUGGCCGCGAAGUCGGGGAUGAUGGCCAUCUUGUUCGUCGGGAGAGCUGUACGCACACCCCCUACCUGGCGCGCCACUGUCGACGAAAGCUGGUCGGCAGUCUACCUUGGGGUAUACCCACGGUAGUAGUUUAUCGGUAGACGGUGCGCAAACUACGAACUCGAUGGUGACGCAAGACACGGACAAGCUUUUUAUCCAGGUUCGGCCGCCGAGUUGGCGUAAUACCUACGUCCUGCGUCUGGUUGUAUUGGAUUGUGUUCAGAGAUAAUCUGUAUGCUCUGUCCUCUAGGGGACCCCUGCCCCUCCUUAUAUAUCCUGAAGGGACAGAGUUACAAGCGAAGUAUCCUAUUUGGUACAAUAUCUUGUAGCCUUGCGGUGCACGCCUAUCAGUCGUGCGCCGCAUGUCUUCAUCCUGUGGGUUGAGCCACCUCUGAUGGUGCGGCCCAUAUAGGCCCAUGAGGGUAUAGGGGUUUAUACCCCCACA
rnacentral:lncRNA from 1 species